UGUGUUUGUUGCCUGUCCCAAGAUUCUGGUCAAGAUGUGAAGUCAGCAGUCUUCAGGGGCUGGAGAUUCAACUUCAGCUCUGCUAUUUUCUGGCUUUGUAAUAUCAAGCCCAGCAUUUCUGGAUCCUUCUGGAGGGUGAGGAGAGCCCGCGGCGUGCAGUGCGUCUCUGCAGCCUGCCUGUUCCAGGGUUGCAGCAAUUUGGGUGCAGAACACCACAGACAACUUUGAAAGAGCCCACUUCCUUCAUUCCGGAGAGCGUGCGGCCGUUACACCAACAUCAAUGAAGGGGAACCCACCGGCUGCGCUCACACCGUUGAAGCAGGGCUUGAACUUCAAGAAGCGCAGGAUGACAGUGAUGGAGUUAAGGAGGGCAAGUGUGGAAACGAGAAGUAAAUGAGAAGUGUGAGGUGCCUACGGGGACAGAUCUCGGUGCACUGAGAGAAGCAAGAUUCUACCUUUAAAACUAAUAUUACUUUGGACCUCUUCAGAGAUGGAGUUUCCAUUUCUUCUCAAGUGUGGAAGGUUGCCCAACUCCAGCAGCUCUAUGAGUUCAGCAGCCCUGAAUUUCUGUAACCUCACUGAUUGGAAUUUGCAUGGUGGUUCCAUUACGUAGGUACAGUUGAUUAAGUCACUGCCAUUUCUUGUUAAUGCCAUUUCCAACCUCUUUUUCCUCUCUGAAGGUGAGGGGUGGGGC